rnacentral:rRNA from 1 species
AGGACGAACGCUGGCGGCGUGCUUAACACAUGCAAGUCGAGCGGUAAGGCCUUUCGGGGUACACGAGCGGCGAACGGGUGAGUAACACGUGGGUGAUCUGCCCUGCACUCUGGGAUAAGCCUGGGAAACUGGGUCUAAUACCGGAUAUGACCUGCUCUCGCAUGGGGGUGGGUGGAAAGAUUUAUCGGUGCAGGGAUGGGGCCCGCGGCCUAUCAGCUUGUUGGUGGGGUAAUGGCCUACCAAGGCGACGACGGGUAGCCGACCUGAGGAGGGUGACCGGCCACGACUGGGACUGAGACACGGCCCAGACUCCUACGGGAGGCAGCAGUGGGAAUAUGCACAAUGGGCAAAGCCUGAUGCAGCGACGCCGCGUGAGGAUGAAGGCCUUGGGUUAGUAAACCUCUUUCAGCAGGACGAAGCGCAAGUGACGUACCUGCAAGAAGAACGCACCGGCUAACGACGUCGCCAAGCAGCCGAC